rnacentral:rRNA from 1 species
GUCCACGCCGUAAACGAUGAAUACUAGUUAUUGGGGGUAUUGACUCCCUCAGUGACGCAGCUAACGCAUUAAGUAUUCCGCCUGGGGAGUACGGUCGCAAGACUAAAACUCAAACAAAUUGACGGGGGCCCGCACAAGCGGUGGAUUAUGUGGUUUAAUUCGAAGCAACGCGCAGAACCUUACCUAGGCUUGAACUCCUACGAAUCCGGAGUAAUGUCUGGAGUGUCCGCAAGGAAAUGUAGUGAGAGGUGCUGCAUGGCUGUCGU